rnacentral:lncRNA from 1 species
GAUCACUCCACAUAAAAGUCCUUCUGAAAGCCAAGUGAGGUAUACUAAGGCUGCAGCUCUAGCCACUGGGCAGGAUGAAGCAAGAGGAUCACUUGGGGCCAGGGGUUCACGGCCAGGCUGUGCACCAGUUAGGAAAGAGGGGAGCCCUCACACCCCUGCCUUAGGUGGAAGUGUCAGUUACCCUGGUUUGAUCACCACCUGUUGGAUCCAUGUAUCAAAUUAUCACCUCAUGUGCUGUAAAGUGAGAUUACCGUGAGUGAAGGGAAAAUAAGAAUAAAUGCCGGUAUUUAUUGUCACAGGUUACACAGUGCCGUUUAUGAAACACUUUGCAUGCUCAUUUGACUCCGUUUCCGAGCUUUCCACUCCAUGAGUCUAUUCUCCUUCCAGUUUUAACUCUUGAAUCUUUAGAGGAUUGAAAAUUCUUGAAACUUGUCCUUCCUCAUUUUUCUUUCUUUUCAGGAUUCUCCUGACUUUCUUUUUUUUCUCUUUCAUAUCAACUUUAGAGUUACUUGUCUCAUUACAGGAAAACUCCACUUAAAAAACUGAGAGGGCGAUCUCCAGAUUCCCUAAAUGAACUUACACUUGGCGUCUCCUAAUGGUGAGCAUUGGAAGUUCUGCCUCCACGCAGCUGACCACGCUAUGAGCCCCCUCAGGCAAGCAAGCAUUCCAUGCAGAUGUGGAUAUAAAAUCAUAACAAAAACUCUUCCUGUGGUUCGGAGAAAUGUUCCCCAAAGGCACCGUCCUCAGCUUGUGACACUGUUGGGAGGGAGUGGAAGCCUCAGAAGGUGGAACCUGGUGGGAAGAAGUUGGGACACCUGCCAGGCCCACCCUGGAAGGGGCUAAGGAGGCCCCGUGCAUUGCUGUCAGUUCACUUCCCAGCCGUCACGAGCACAAGCUUCUUCUGCCACUUUUUCACACCACUAUGUCUAAGUGACCAGGGACAGAACCCUCUGAAACCAUUAGCCAAAACAAACCUUCCCUCCUUAUAAGUUAAUGAUCUCAGGUAUUUUGUCACAGAGUCAGAAAGCUAACACAGUUAUGUAAUAGAAUCCAAUAAUUAAAAGAAAGACUAUUUCAAGCAAGAGCAGGUGUGUGUCCUUAGCAGCAAAGCCAAACUUGCAAUUAAAGAAUCUCUUCAUGGUUUAGUUCCAAAUCCUAAAUGUUGCUUUGGAGACAUGUCCACACGUUGCUAGAAAAAGUUGGUUUUAUUAUUCAAAGAAUUGUGGUUUUGGGAAAGAGUAGACGCAUGAAGCUGAC